UUGAUAUGGAAACCGGUUCUUCUUUUCUAACGUCUUCUCAGAACACUCCAUGGCACAGAACCACUGGAUAAAAUCAGCUAAGGAAAAAAGAUGUGAAAUGUAAGAUCAUCUGAAGGGCAGCUUUGGUUCAAGUCAAAUGCAUGCCUCAACUUGGCAGAGUCAAAGAGAUACUUGUAUGAUGUAAGUCAGAUUAUAUCAUUCUUCUGCUCAAAACUCCCCAGUAAAUAGCUCACCAUUCUCUUCAGAGAAAAGUCAAAAGACUUAAAAUGGCCAACAAAACCUAUCAUCUGUGCCCCACUCCUCCCUCUACCUCACUUCAUCUCUCUCCCUGACUCAUUUGCUUUCAGUCCUCCUUGCCUGGUACGUUCCUUCAGUUACACUCCCAUUUCAGGUCCUUUGCACUGAUUGUUUCCUCUGCCUGGAGCCCACUUGCCCCAGCUUUGUACAUGGCUACCUCGCUUACUUUCUUCAGGUGCUUGCUAAAAUACCACCCUCUCAAUGAGGCCUACCCUGAGCACCCUAUUUAAAAUUGUAACCUGCUGUUCCCUCCCCCUACAAACUCUCAUAUUUCAUCAUCUUUCUUUAGUUUUUGUUGUAACACUUAUCACUUUCUAAUAUACCAUAGAAUUUACUUAUUUACAUAUUUAUUGCUUAAUGUCUAUAUCUGUCUUUGAGAAUAUAAGGCCCAUGAAGUCAGGGAUCUUUUUCUGUUCUUAACAUUGCUGUAUUCCAAAUGGGAGACUGUUGCUUGGCUCAUUGUAAUCGCUCAGUUAAUAGCUGUCACAUUAAUUAAUCCUUGCCAUCUCUUCUGUGCUGGAAUUUGUCCGUGAUAGAAACCUCCUGAUCUGCCAGACUAGUGUUGUCCUAAUAUUUUAUUCAGUCCAGAAUCUGUAAUGAUUUUAUUGCCAAUAAAGCAUUUGAAAGGAAAAUAAAUCUUGGGUCCCCAAAUCACUAAUACAACUCCUCUUUUUUUUGAGUUUUACUUGCUUCCAACAAGGAAGGCAAGAUUUCCUGUUUCCAUGAUGAUGGAAGGCAGAUAAUUCCUUUAUGGACUUUGAGCUCCCUUCUGACAGGGAAGAUGAGGUUUUUUCCCUGCUUCUAAGAUGGUAGAGAGCAGUCUACAGCCUGAGACCCAUCCCUAGAGUCAAGAAGACUUUUAAGCUAUUUACAACUUUUAACAAUUGAGUAAAGUAUAUUCCUUUGAACAAAAUUUGGAGCAUUUUGUUUCUCUUUACCUGAUUUCUACAUAAUUUGGAAAUGAUUUGACACAAUUGGAGAAACUGGUUAUUUUACCAAGGCUUUGACUGGAAUGGUGUGCUUUCCUUUAAGGAAUCAAACUUGACUUAUGGAGCCAAUAUAAGCCCCUUGGAAAAACUGGCUUCAUACCUUUGUCUGCACAGUCCCUGUAUAGGGUUCCUGACCUGUGGUAAGUAAAGAAUGUCACUUUCUGACAGGCUCAGGAGCCCCAAGUUUAUCUUGGAACCUGAAGAGGAGAGGAAUUCACCCAACUCAUAGGACAUGCCUUUUGCCUUCUGCCAUGAUUGUGAGGCUUCCCCAGCCACGUGAAACUGAUAUGAGACUUCACAACCUGCUGAAAAUGAGCUUUCCUAAUAACUCAGGACCUACGCGUCUAGGAAUAAACCAUCCUAAACAUGAAAGAUCAGACAAAAUGUGAGACCAGAGACUCAUUUACAGGAUUUCAAUACUUUGUUACCAGAUAUGGACUGGUAUAUGAAAUGAAAUAAAUGGCCAGAUAGGUGCUAAGAAUUUAAAUAGUUCACUUGUUAUACCAAGAUUGUUUCAUGAGAUACAAGCAAUUCAAACCUGAAUCCUGCAUCUCUCUUCCAAGUUAUCAGUCCAGAGAAUGAACUCUUGUGAACAAAGGAAAGGUAGAAAUGAAGCUUGGGAUUGGGAGUAGAUGUGUUAGAGGCUAAGAGGUGGAAAUGCUGGCCUUCUAUCCACUACGGGGACCUACCACCCAAAGAGCACACCAUCGCAAGGGCCUCGUAUUCUCACCCACAUUCACAAAUAGAGACAUGCAGACUUUAUUGGAAAAAAAUUAACUGGCUUCUACACAACGCUUUAAACUGAGGUGAACGGGACUGUCUUCACCUGGUAAUCAGGGUAACUGGAUUUCAGCCCAGAAUCUUCCACCAACCAGCUGUGUGACCUCAGGCAAGUCACCUCUCUUUUCUGGCCUCAUCUUUGCCUUCUGUAAAGUGAGACCCUUGGUCUAGGAUGGGUGAUCUCUAAGUUUCUUUCUCAAUUUCCCAUUUUGUAAUUCUCAUUCUUUAAUAAAAAUAGGCCCUGUAUCUGUUGUAGGAAAAACUGAGAUUAUUAUCUGGGGGAAAUUGAUAACCUAGAUUUUUUUUCCUAGUGAACUGUAGGGUCUAGUAUAUUUUCUGAGCCACAUCAGGAACUGUGUCCUGAGCUCAAGGAAUGGUAUAGUACAGGCCUCUUGGACCUUCACAUAUCCGAACUUCAGAGAAAGCUCCCGUUAAAAGCAAUUAAUACAGCAUACCAAAGGGAGAGAAGAGAGGUGACAACUGUAGUGGUUUUUGCCCCGCUUUGAUGAGAUGGGAAGGGGAAUCUAGCAGGUGGGGCAGACAACGCUGCCCUGGGGCAGUUUGUGCUUCACGGUGUUGUGAAGUCUAACUAAGAGGGUUUUGUCAAGAUUCUUUUUUCUGUGUGUUUAAACAGUUAUACAACAAUUGAAUUAGUCUGCUCGCCUAGACUCCCUGCCAUGAAAAUCAUCAAACAAGCCUGGAAGAAUCCUACUGCGGGGCCUUUGCCAGCAGAGUGCUAGGAUUUCUGGAAGCUGGGCAUCUUCUCACACACAGUGGCCAGCGUUGGCUUUGGAGUUUCUUACGUUGUUUUCCCAGCACCUGAGGAGAACUUUGGCCCCAAAGAGACUGCCCAGGUCUGGGGCAAUGCUAUUUGACAUUGUAUCCUCGGUCAUGGGAGUAAAUAUGCCCCCUUCAGGUGUGGGACAGACUUGAGACUUAUGCUGAGGUCAGGCCUCACAGCUGCCUCCCAGGGCUGCUGUCCCAGGUGGCCCCUUCCCACGCACCGGCCACCGUGGAGGGAUUAGCACGCACGUGUGUGUGUGUGCGCGUGUGUGUAUACGUUUGUGUCUUUGUGUCAGUAUUUCUGUGAAGGAGGCAGUCCAAGGGACCAGCAGGAGGAUUUGUAGCUGGUGUGUGUGUGUGUGUGUGUGUUUUGUAUCAGUAUGUCUGUGAAGGAGGCAGUCCAAGGGACCAGCAGGAGGAUUUUAUUAUUACUGCCUAGAGACAUCUGAUGCAGGGGAGCCCUGGUUUCUUGUGGUUGAUAUACCUGGGUAAGGAAAAGGGAGCUGAGAAGGAAUCGGAGAAAACUGAGCAAAAAGGAUGAAGGCAGGAGGAAAAAGCUGAAAGAAGACAGAAGAGCCCAGCUCAGACACAGGUGGUUAGCAGUUCCUCAGGGUUCCUGAGCAGUUCCUUUGGGGUCCAGGGUUUGUGAGGCUCUGCUGGACCACAGGCAUCAGACACCCCUGAGGGAGGCAGCUCUGCACAAAGAGGAUACAGUAGCUGGAGUAGCCAAUUCAUCCAGCCAGGAAUCUUCUGGCCUCACAGCAUCUAAAGGGAAAAUGCAGAGAGAGCAAAUCAGGAUUCUUGAUUAUGGGACUCCCUGCGGAGGACAAGGCCCUAGCAAAAGUUGGACAUCAUCUAAGAGUUCUGGCUUCAAAACUCUGUAUUGUGUGGUCUUUGUGCACCCUCUUGUGGAGUGAGCAGUGACUCCCGAAGGCUUGCCCAGACCAGGAUCAUUUCCGUUGGGAGUAUCAUAGACCAAAGUCCAUCCUCAAAAUCUGGUCUCCACUCUCACAAAAGGAAUGCAUACAAAUGUCA